UAGUAUGAUUACCGUCCAGCGCGGAGAGACACAGAUUAAACUGCUGCACACAACUGUUGUUUUAAUCCGCGGCCCGAGGAGAUUUAGCGACGAGAAAACACCGGGUUUAAACCCAGCAGCCAUAUUGUAUGGAAAAAAACGACGGGAAGGUUGUUGUCGCCGGGAAAAAAGAGUGUUGUCCUCCUCAGACUCGGGAGUUUAGCGGAGUUUCAUGUUGUUUCUCAGUGGCGGAGGGUUUGUGACGGACAGCGAGCCCAGCAGCUGGUGGAGGAGUCCACGCACCGGGACUAGGUUUUCAACCCCGUUUUCAUCCGCUCGGUUAGAAACGUGUUGAAUCGACCAUCGCAAAGAUGAAGGACCGACUGGAGCAACUUAAAGCGACUUGUGAUCAAGAUGACGAAGACGUGGAGAUUGCUGUGGACAACGCAGCCUUCAUGGAUGAGUUCUUCACUCAGAUCGAGGACAUUAGGAACAGUAUUGAUAAAAUAGAUGACAACGUGGCUGAAGUCAAAAAGCUCUUCUCUGUCAUCCUUUCUGCUCCCACUUCAGAGCAGAAAACACAGGAUGAACUGGAGGCAAUCACUAAUGACAUUAAGAAGAUGGCCAACAAUGCAAGAAACAAACUCAAAACCAUCGAGAGGAAUCUGGAAUCGGAGGAGCAGGAGAGGGUCUCAGCUGACAUGCGGAUACGUAAAUCACAGCAUGCAGUGCUGUCAAGGAAGUUUGUGGAAGUAAUGACAAAGUAUAAUGAAGCCCAGGUGGACUUCAGGGAGAGGAGUAAAGGACGUAUUAAGAGGCAGCUAGAGAUCACUGGAAAAGCAACCACAGAUGAAGAGCUGGAUGAGAUGCUGGAGAGUGGGAAUUCUGCUGUCUUCACUGCAGGGAUUGUGGAUUCUGGGAUCUCUAAACAAGCCCUGAGUGAGAUCGAAUCCAGACACAAGGACAUUGUGCGUCUGGAAAGCAGCAUCAAGGAACUGCACGAUAUGUUUGUAGACAUUGCCAUGUUGGUGGAGAGCCAGGGUGGAAUGAUUGAAAGGAUUGAGAGCAACAUGGACCAAUCAGUGGGCUUUGUGGAAAGGGCUGUAGCCGACACUAAGAAAGCAGCAAAGUUUCAGCAAGAGGCUCGCCGUAAAAUGAUCAUAAUAGCAGUGGUUGUGGCGAUCUUGCUGGCCGUACUAGCUCUCAUUAUCGGGUUGUCAGUGGGACUGAAGUAAAGCUGAUGAAACCUGAGUAAGAGGAGAGCUAAGGAGGAUGAUGGUUAUUGGUGCCGUCUGUGCUGUGGUUGUUCUCAUCCUCCUCAUCGUCCUCACACUAAAGCAGGACCUCUGUGUUGCUGCUAAUCAUCAGUUCAUUCAUCGUCACUCCAUCCUUCCCUCCAUCAGCUGACCCACCAAAGAAAAGUUUGAUACUGGUCACCUCCGAUGGAUACAAUCAUAUUUCAUCCAAAGAGCAUCAGUUUAAAACUGCACCAAGAGUGGAGGAAGGCUUGAUGUGACAUUGGAGAGCUGGCACAAAAGAGGACCUUAAAGAAAUGCAUAACAAAAUAUUUCAGACUUUUGAAUUACUUUCAUCAUUCCCUUCCGUACCAUCCUCCCUGAAUUGUGAGGGUUUGUUUGACUCCUUCAUGCAGCUUGGACAGUUUUGAGGAAGCUCUACUGUAAAUGAGGAAACAUGACUAAUGCUGCGGUGAGGUACAAUUCCCUCUGUCCUAUCUACACGUGGGCGUAAAGGGAAUUGAAAAAUAACUGAUCGUUCUUCCACAAGUGUCACUUAACAUUUCAUUGUGCAGCAUUCAGUGCCAAAUAAGCAGCCUGGAAGUUUUAGUCAAUCUGAAAUUGAUUAAGUCCCAGUGAGACCAACAACACUGUCUUCAUGUCUUUCCUUUAUGAGCCUCGACACAUUUGUGAUCGAAAAGCUUGCUACUGUAAUGGGUAUUUUAUUAGUCCGGAGGAUUUUCAGCACUUUCACAUUUCAAAAUAUGACUUCAUUUUUCUGAUUAGGCACAGAUAAAAAUGUAAAUAAUAUAUUUGUUAUGUUUUAUGAAUAUCUGGCCUGAAUAUGAAGCAGAUUCUUCAGUUUUAUAGAGCAUAUUGGUUUUAAUGUUAAAUUUGUGAAGGAUUAUGCUUCUAGAAACACAUUUCAUGGCUGGGCAGAGCUAAGAAGAGCAAAGAAGGAAAACACUGUAGCACUAUAACAUUUGAAGGCAUGAGUUUUUACAGACGAGACAGUCUGUAAAAACAUGUUGUUUUAAUGCCACAUGAUGUAAAGAGACACUGCUAAUAACACAAUUGGCGUAUUUGCCAGAGGAGCCAAAAUAGUUUUUGUAUGGACAUUUUAACUUGCAGUAUUGUGUCAGUGGCAGGCGGAUGUGAAACCACUGUGAGUUGCAUUUCUGCAAUGUUUUAGGUCUCAUAAUAUUUCUACUAUAAACGUACAACUCAGUUUAUGAGGUACAGCAAUAAUCCAAUCUAAUACGACAGCCCUGGUUGUAAUAGUUUCAUCAUUUCAUUAGCUCAUUUUUGGUGGAGAGAACAUGUCAAACUUUCAAUUUACUGAACCACAGUGUACAUAUGGGCAUGCUGUAGCUUUAAUAGGGUAGUUAAAGAAGCUUAUUAACUACUGUAUUAUACACUGGUUAUAUCAGGCAUCAGAGAGAAGACGCAAGGUUAUCCGUUUUAAUCACAUCAAAGGUUUUUCAGUGCAACAACAAUGAAGUAACCACAAGAGACACAGUCAGUGAAAUCCUUCAAACGAAGCCUGGGUGACGCUUUUCAUUCAGCUUGUGAGGGAAACACUUGACCAUGAGAGGCCACCAGCUUGAUCUGUACAUCAGUCUGCUCUGUCUGGCUUCUGUCCACAACCUUUCAAUCGUAAUGCUUCUAUUAACGGGUUUUUCUUCAGCACAGGCUGCAGGAAGAGCUCAGCUGAAACUGUUGGAGUCUGUUUUUAACUUAAAUGCCAAUGAUUUUAAUGGUGAUUAAAGAUUUUAUGUUUUUUAACUACUGUUUGAAGAGUGCUUCAUUUGCAGAGUCAUGCUCAUCUGCCCAGCUUGACUCUGUUAAGGACACAAGGUAAAUAUGUAAUUAAAUCUUUACUCUUUUUGGAUGACUGGAGGAUCUCUGUGAAUGUUUUUUGUGGGUGCAGCAUGUCUAUACAGGAUAUUUUUUAACCACUGUGUUGCAAAGUACAACCUUUCAAAGACAAGUCUUAAAGAGGAGGUAGGUUUUUCACACACACACACAUGCACACACACACAGACACCCCUUUUACCACUCUUACCCACUUCUCCUUUUUGCUCGAAUCAUUUCCUCAAACCGUUGUGUCCAUACAUGUAAAUUAUUGUCCUGUUUUGUGUUAACAAUCAUGACUCGCAGUUUAAUUUGUGUUUUUAUCUUUUUAAAAUCUACAGAAAAAGAUGAUGAUUACUUUGUGCUGUGCCAUCAUUGGGAUUGUUGGGUUCUCCUAUCUCUACAGCUUCUUCUCAUGAGCGCUCAUUCACAGGAAAGAUGCUCGCUCCAAGAACAAUAACAUUUCCGGAUAUGCCCCCAGUUCCACCCUCAACAUUAUUUGAAUCUGUUAUAAAAAAGGUAUAUUGACAUUUUUGAACCGUUUCUGUCCUGAACACUUACCUCUGUAUUUAAUAUUUGAUUUAAAACGAUUUUCUUGCUGUAUGAAGUGUUUGAAAACGUGUUAUAAGUGUGUAGAUCUUUCUCAACCUGCCACCUGACGAGUAAUUGUUUGGGGUUGUAGUCUAACGCCCCCUGGUGGUAAAUUAAGGUAAAUUUUAUUUAGCGAAAAUUUGAAUACGUAAAAUUAUUAUUAUGCAUUAAAAGAAUGAACGUGAUCCUUUCCCUUGCCUUGUAAGCCACCAACGUCAAAUCUUACACGUAUAUAAAUUAUGAAGCUCUGGUCAUACAUAUAUCACAUUAAGUAGUAUUUUUUUUUAUUGUUUGAUGUCAUUAUUAUUUUAAUGAAUUGUGUGAUUUUGUUGUUGUGUGUGAUAUGUAUGAGUCUGUUUUGCUGCAAUGCUUGUUAUAAUGGUCUUCUGUGUAACUCGCUCACUGGCUGUGUGUCAACCCAGUAAAGCCUGUUAUGUAAUAAAGCUGUAUGUGUGUUAAACCAA